rnacentral:lncRNA from 1 species
UAUGUGCUGAGCUAUAUUAACCAUUUCCAAAUUUACUUAAUUGUGUGCCAGAAAGACUUAACUGUAUGCCAAGCUAUAUGAAAUGUAUUCAAAGUCUUAUUAACUGUGUACAUAGAACAUGCUAAACAGUUUUUCAUCUAAAAAUUUAGCAAUUGUUUAACCAAUUUUAUUACCCACCUAGAAAAUUUAUUAGAGAGAUAUAUGGUCAUCAGAAAGGUAAAAAAUUAAUUUACACUAAUAAUUAUAAUAUUUUAUACCUUUAUUAUUAUAUUAUACUAUAAAUAUAUAUUACAUUAUAUCAUAAUACAUUAGUAUGUUAUGUUAAAUAAUUUAAUAUGAUGUUAUAUUAUAAAAAAUUAAUUUACAUUAAUAAUUAUAAUAUUUUAUACCUUUAUUAUUAUAUUAUACUAUAAAUAUAUAUUACAUUA